GCAAAUUGUGAGAGUGCUGACGAGCGGCGGACGGGUGAGUAACGCGUGAGAAUCUACCCCAAACUGAGGGAUAACUCCGGGAAACCGGUGCUAAUACCGCAUAUGGCCUUCGGGUUAAAGUUUUAUACGGUUUGGGAAGAGCUUGCGUUGGAUUAGCUAGUUGGUGAGGUAAUGGCUUACCAAGGCGACGAUCCAUAGUUGGUCUGAGAGGAUGAUCAACCACACUGGAACUGAGACACGGUCCAGACUCC
rnacentral:rRNA from 1 species